GAGACGGAUGGGCAUGCGGCGCAUUAGCUAGUUGGCGGGGUAACGGCCCACCAAGGCGACGAUGCGUAGGGGUUCUGAGAGGAAGGUCCCCCACACUGGUACUGAGACACGGACCAGACUCCUACGGGAGGCAGCAGUGAGGAAUAUUGGUCAAUGGGCGAGAGCCUGAACCAGCCAAGUCGCGUGAGGGAGUACUGCCCUAUGGGUUGUAAACCUCUUUUGUCGGGGAGCAAAAGCCGGACGUGUCCGGCUGUGAGAGUACCCGAAGAAAAAGCAUCGGCUAACUCCGUGCCAGCAGCCGCGGUAAUACGGAGGAUGCGAGCGUUAUCCGGAUUUAUUGGGUUUAAAGGGUGCGCAGGCGGAUUUUUAAGUCAGCGGUCAAAUCGUGGGGCUCAACCCCAUCCAGCCGUUGAAACUGGGGAUCUAGAGUGUGCGAGAGGUAUGCGGAAUGCGUGGUGUAGCGGUGAAAUGCAUAGAUAUCACGCAGAACCCCGAUUGCGAAGGCAGCAUACCGGUGCACAACUGACGCUCAGGCACGAAAGCGUGGGUAUCGAACAGGAUUAGAUACCCUGGUAGUCCACGCAGUAAAC
rnacentral:rRNA from 1 species